UACAGAGGUCUCAAGCGUUGUUCGGAUUCAUUGGGCGUAAAGGGUGCGUAGGCGGCGCGGUAAGUCGGGUGUGAAAUCUUGGAGCUUAACUCCGAAACUGCAUUCGAUACUGCCGUGCUUGAGGACUGGAGAGGAGACUGGAAUUUACGGUGUAGCGGUGAAAUGCGUAGAUAUCUGGAGGAACACCGGUGGCGAAGGCGGCAUCCUGGACCAACACUGACGCUGAGUGAGCGAAAAGCCAGGGGAGCAAACGGG
rnacentral:rRNA from 1 species